rnacentral:ncRNA from 1 species
UUAAAUUCUGUGAAGAGAAAGAGUAGAGAUAAGAGAUUUCCCUACAGAGAGCUGUCGGUGCUGAAAGACAGUGGGAGGCUUAUUUUGAAAAUCAUCUCUGAGAAGGAAAGCUGAAAGAAUCACAUCAGGUAAGUUUUCACGGGGAUUUCCCGUUAUAGAAAUCACGUAUGAUUGUACGUAGUGAAUAUCACUUGUUUUAGAAGAACAGGGUGGUUGCGGAACUGAUAAUAUGUCCGUCCCUAUC